rnacentral:rRNA from 1 species
UACGGAGGGUUCGAGCGUUAAUCGGAAUGACUGGGCGUAAAGGGCUGGUAGGUGGCAGCUUGAGUCAGCAGUGAAAUCCCCGUGCUUAACAUGGGAACUGCUGCUGAGACAGGGCAGCUAGAGUAUAGCAGAGGGAGACAGAAUUCCAAGUGUAGCGGUGAAAUGCGUAGAGAUUUGGAAGAAUACCGGAGGCGAAAGCGGUCUUCUGGGCUAAUACUGACACUGAACAGCGAAAGCGUGGGGAGCAAAC